rnacentral:rRNA from 1 species
UACGUAGGGUGCAAGCGUUGUCCGGAAUCAUUGGGCGUAAAGAGCGCGUAGGCGGCCCGGUAAGUCCGCUGUGAAAGUCGGGGGCUCAACCCUCGGAUGCCGGUGGAUACUGUCGGGCUUGAGUGCGGAAGAGGCGAGUGGAAUUCCUGGUGUAGCGGUGAAAUGCGCAGAUAUCAGGAGGAACACCAAUUGCGAAGGCAGCUCGCUGGGACGUUACUGACGCUGAUGCGCGAAAGCGUGGGGAGCAAACAGG